GAUGAACGCUGGCGGCGUGCUUAACACAUGCAAGUCGAACGAGAAGUGCCGACGUAUACCGUCUGGCGGAGGGGCUUAUUUGGAGUGAACACGGGGUGAGUAUUGCGUGGGUUAUGGGAUAACUUCAGGGAACUAGGGCUUAUACAGGACUGGUGAUACCGCUUAAUACCGUGGGUGUGAAUGUUUCGGGGGUUGGCAUUGCGGUGGUGGGGGAUGGACUGGCGUUUGAUCAGCUUGUUGGCGGGGUAGUGGAUUACCAACGCGACGAGGGGUGGCCGGCCUGAGAGGGUGACCGGCCACAUUGGGACUGAGAUGCGGCACAGACUAAUACGGGAGGCAGCAGUGGGGAAUAUUGCACUAUGGGCGGAAGCAUGAUGCAGCAAAGCCGCGUGGGGGAUGACGGGAUUCGGGUUGUAAACCGCUUUCGCCUGAGACGAAGCGUGAGUGACGGUACUGGGUAAAGAAGCACCGGCUAACUACGUG
rnacentral:rRNA from 1 species